UGUUGAAGCACCACUUCCCAUAUGAUCACCGAAGUUAAGUAACAUCAAGCCUGGUCAGUACCUAGAUGGGUGACCCCUUGGGAAU